UCUGAAUUUACUUGAUCGAUGCAUAAAAG
rnacentral:piRNA from 1 species